rnacentral:lncRNA from 1 species
ACAAGUUGAAAUUAAUUCUUUAUCAAACUUAUCAGAGAUUUUAUCAUUCAGGAUAUAAAACUCAAAGUUUGAUUAGACUUGAGAAAGAUUAAAAAAAUUGGUCUUUUGAGAAAAAUAAAAUACGACAUAAACUAACAUGUAUCAUUGCAUCUAGCAUCUAGCUUUGCGUUGAAGUGCUAAUAUACAGAAGCUCUUUAAAUGAAAAACGACACCAUAAUAAAAAAAAAAUGAAAUAGGAAAAAUUGUAAUAUAUAAACUGACAUACAAGUAAAAAAUAUCUGACGAUUUUCUAAGUGCUUACUUAUGUAUGAGGAAAUAAAUAUAAUUUACCAAAAAAAACAACAAAAAAAACAAACCCCCUCAUAAAACCAGCGGUUCCACAAUAAGAUAGGAAAAAAAACAGCCAUCGAAAUAUCAUAAUCCAAAAUUGGAAGGGGGGCC